AAGAUGGCCACGCAGCAGCAGA
rnacentral:misc_RNA from 1 species